rnacentral:rRNA from 1 species
UACAGAGGUCUCAAGCGUUGUUCGGAUUCAUUGGGCGUAAAGGGUGUGUAGGUGGCGCGCUAAGUCGGGUGUGAAAUUUCGGAGCUUAACUCCGAAACUGCAUUCGAUACUGGCGUGCUUGAGGCUAGUAGGGGUCACUGGAACUGACGGUGGAGCGGUGAAAUGCGUAGAUAUCGUCAGGAACGCCGAUGGUGAAGACAGGUGACUGGGCUAGUUCUGACACUGAGGCACGAAAGCGUGGGGAGCGAACGGGG